GGAGGGCUAGACCUAACUGGUAAGGCGGCGGUCUUGAAAACCGCUGGGCGCAAGCCCGUAGAGGUUCGAAUCCUCUGCCCUCCG
rnacentral:tRNA from 4 species